rnacentral:tRNA from 1 species
GCCUCCUUAGUUAAGUGGUAUAACGCAGCCAUGGUAAGGCUGAAUUGUAAGUUCGAUUCUUACAGGAGGCACCA